CCUAUCCAAGCUUGAUAAAGGGCAGACGGACCUGGAUUUGCCAACAUCGAAAGCAAUCAUACUUGGUUUGGAAAUCUCUGCGCUUGCUAUGUUAUAUCAAUAUCAGUUGUCGAUUCACUGAUAUUAGCAACUUUCAGAUCAUGUAGUUAUUAUCCUUCAAGGUUGAAUCAGAUAGAUUCAUAUCUGAAAGAGAUUGACAAUAAUUUCUUUCAAAAUUGACUAUUUGCCCCUCUGUUAGAGGUGUUCCAGAAAUGUUUGUGAUCGAGUAAAUAGCUCUACGAACGAAUAGAUCGGAUCAACGGGUCGAGUUUGACCAUCAUAGCCACGAAUGCCUCCUCUCAUGAUCAUGAUGAACAACUUAAAUGCCGGUCAAUGUUGAUCAUCGUGAUCACAUGGUUGGGAUCGUGAUCUCGAGAGUUACCUGAUACUAUUGCUGGUGAGCGGUAGGAGGUAGAAGAUAUCUUGUCGAAUGAGUCAAGGAGCACAAAAUCUGGUUAUCUGGUUAGCAUCCAGCCUAUUAUAUUUGCAAAGCAAUCACCUGCUCAUAUGGCGCCACCCUUGUGCUUCAAAACAGAAAUUACAGUAAUUUUUUUGGACAAGAACUGCAAUAUAGAAACUAUUCAAGAUUGUUUGCUGGUAUAGGUGACUAUUCAAUUCUAUCAAAGAAGAUAGCCACUGUGAUGCCACAAGUAGGGUCUGAAGAGGGCGAGGUGUAUGCAUAUCUUACCCCUACUCUUCUGUGUGGCAGAGAAGUUGUUUCCGAUAAAUAUUCUAUCAGGUAACACUGAACAUGAUUAAAGUGGCAUCAGUCUGUAAGAAUGAUAUUUCAUUCAAUUUCGGAUGUUUGUUCUCGUUAUAUGUUACAUAUUAUAGUGUACAGAUUGUUAUCCGAUAAUGAAAUUAUGCUUUAGUAUA